GUCAUAUCACGUUGAAACACUGGUUCUCGUUCGGCCACGGAAGUUAAGCAACGUCAGCCUGAUCAGUACCUAGAUGAAUGACCGCUUGAGAAUACCAGGUACU